rnacentral:rRNA from 1 species
UACGUAGGUGGCAAGCGUUGUCCGGAAUUACUGGGCGUAAAGGGAGCGUAGGCGGUCUUUUAAGUGAGAUGUGAAAUACCCGGGCUCAACUUGGGAAUUGCAUUUCAAACUGGGAGACUAGAGUGCAGGAGAGGAAAGUGGAAUUCCCAGUGUAGCGGUGAAAUGCGUAGAGAUCGGGAGGAAGGCCGGUGGCGAAGGCGGCGCUCUGGAACGUUUCUGACGCUGAGGCUCGAAAGCGUGGGGAGCAAACAGG